rnacentral:rRNA from 1 species
GAACGCGAAGAACCUUACCUACCCUUGACAUGCCAGGAAGCCCGCAGAGAUGUGGGUGUGCCCGAAAGGGAACCUGGACACAGGUGCUGCAUGGCUGCCGUCAGCUCGUGUCGUGAGAUGUUGGGUUAAGUCCCGCAACGAGCGCAACCCUUGCCAUUAGUUGCUACAUUCAGUUGGGCACUCUAAUGGGACCGCCGGUGACAAACCGGAGGAAGGUGGGGAUGACGUCAAGUCCUCAUGGCCCUUAUGGGUAGGGCUUCACACGUAAUACAAUGGUCGGUACAGAGGGCUGCCAACCCGCAAGGGGGAGCUAAUCCCAGAAAGCCGAUCGUAGUCCGGAUUGUAGUCUGCAACUCGACUGCAUGAAGCCGGAAUCGCUAGUAAUCGCGGAUCAGCAUGUCGCGGUGAAUACGUUCCCGGGUCUUGUACACACC